GACGAACGCUGGCGGCGUGCUUAACACAUGCAAGUCGAACGGUAAGGCCCUUCGGGGUACACGAGUGGCGAACGGGUGAGUAUCACGUGGGUGAUCUGCCCUGCACUACGGGAUAAGCCUGGGAAACUGGGUCUAAUACCGGAUAGGACCACUGCCUGCAUGGCGGGUGGUGGAAAGCUUUUGCGGUGUGGGAUGGGCCCGCGGCCUAUCAGCUUGUUGGUGGGGUGAUGGCCUACCAAGGCGACGACGGGUAGCCGGCAUGAGGGGGUGACCGGCCACACUGGGACUGAGAUACGGCCCAGACUCCUACGGGAGGCAGCAGUGGGGAAUAUUGCACAAUGGGCGCAAGCCUGAUGCAGCGACGCCGCGUGAGGGAUGACGGCCUUCGGGUUGUAAACCUCUUUCAGCACCGACGAAGCGCAAGUAACGGUAGGUGCAGAAGAAGGACCGGCCAACUACGUGCCAGCCGCCGCGGUAAAAC
rnacentral:rRNA from 1 species